GGAGAAAUUGCUCUGGGAUCUGGAUCGCAUCAUGAUUAGCAUAGUCAGGUGGGGCAGAUGGAUUUCCCUUCCGUGGCACGUGGGGGGUACUGCAGAUGACCGGAACACUGUGUCUUGACUCCUGUAAACCACCAGGUGGCGACGAUGGCUGCAUCGGGAAGAUGUAUUCCCCAUCUGGGCCACACGAUGGCAGUGUGGGGUACAUGCGACCAUAGACUCCCAAGGUUCCUCCUCCGUUGCCUUGGUCACCCCCCCCUUGGGGGCCCUGAGUCGAGGGGGCGGGCCGCUAUCAGUCCUUCUCUGACUAGCGUCGUGUGUAGGUCUCUCUCCCGAGUCAAUUCAUCCUUUAACAAACGAAUUUCAUCGGCAAGCAGUUUGAUUUGCUCUCUUGUCUUUCCCAGAGCAUCUUCAUAGUGAGCAGUUGUCUUUUCCAAUUCAUCUCUCUUUUUGUUGCUGACAUGCUUGAUAAAGUAGCGCUUACACUGAGACAAUAGUAACAACCCAACUGGUUCACUUCGUCUAGUCUUCUUGUCCCAGUCUCUGAAAACCUUCCAGAUCGAUUCCUUUGGCCAGCGUUUAGUUUGGGGGUCCAUCGUUAUCUCAUAUGUUAUGCGAAGUUUAUUUUCGGUUCCUUGCAAAUCAUGUCUGUCGUUGAAGAAUCUAGACAGAGUCUCACUAAUUGAAUAAAUAUCAAUCUCUCUAACCUCCACUUCAAAAGAAUCUUGUUCUUUUCGUUCGGAUGCAUUGGGACUUUGAUUGCUAUCUUUUCCCUCCUCCUCUUUCUUCUUCCUGCCUUUACCUUUCGGCAUUUUUUCUAUCUUUUUCUAUCUGUAAAGUAACUAAAACUAGCGACCAAUCGCUGCUUAGAAAGAAACAAAUAGACGCCUCCCACGGAGCUCGGUAUGCCAACAACAGAUGAUGGCACACUUUUUCCUUCUUCGAGAUUAAAAAACAAUAUAUGUGAUUCCUCGGCGGGGAUCAAAACAAUAUAGCACAAACAAAAAACUCUAGCGAUUCAUGUAACCUCACCAGUGAAUUCAAUACAAAUACGGUUUCACUCCUUGUC